rnacentral:rRNA from 1 species
GACGAACGCUGGCGGCGUGCUUAACACAUGCAAGUCGAACGAAGUGGCGAACGGGUGAGUAACGCGGAAUCAACCUGCCCUUCAGAGGGGGACAACAGUGGGAAACGACUGCUAAUACAGCAUACUGAAGGAGGGGAUUGCGUCUGAUUAACUAGUUGGAGGGGAAACGGCCCACCAAGGCGCUGAUACGUAGCCGGGCUGAGAGGAUGAACGGCCACAUUGUGACUGAGACACGGCCCAGACUCCUACGGGAGGCAGCAGUGGGGAAUCUUCCGCAAUGGACGAAAGUCUUACGAAGCAACGCCGCGUGCGUGAUGACGGCCUUCGGGUUGUAAAGCUCUGUUAAUCGGGACGCGGUACCGGAAUAGAAAGCCACGGCUAACUACGUGCCAGCAGCCGCGGUAAUUC